AUAGCGUGGGAAGGUUAACUAGGCAUAGUCAACUUUGCCUACUCUUCAUUUACCUUUUGGAAGAAAUCUCAGGCUUCCUCACAACCAAAGAACCUCUGUCUGACCCAACUCUCAGCCCCUGCUCUGGCCAAUCCUGACAAGGAAGAUGCUCAGCCAGGAUGCAGGCUCAGCACUUUGAGACUGGUGGAUGUACUUAGAAACCUUCAUCUAACCAGUGAGCUCUGCCCUUACCAGCUGCCCUUUAUUCACUGUUCCUAGGCCCAUAACUACUGAUUUGCUGUUGCACUGCAGAAUAUUCUAGGACAUUCAGAUUUACAUACAUUUUUCUUCUGUCCUUUCUUGACAGGGUUUCUCUGUGUAGCCCUGGCUGGCCUCGAACUCAGAAUGGCCUCCUGCCUCUGGAGAUGAAGGCAUCCACCAUUCCCAUUUUUCUGUUUUUUGUUUUUUAAUGAGUGUGCUUUGUGUAUGGGGAAUGCACAUGAACAAGGACCCCAGAAGACAGCCUCAUCCCCAGGAACACCAUCUCCUUCCUUUGAGGGAGGGUCUCUCAUUGACCUCACCGACUGGGCUAGGCACCGAGCCCACGGGUUCUCUCAUCUCUGCCUCCCAGGCAGGUACUGGGGAUUUCAAGCAGACCACAU
rnacentral:lncRNA from 1 species